rnacentral:lncRNA from 1 species
GCUAGAGGAAAACUUAAGGUCAUAGCCUUCUUGAAAAACUCAAACUCAUUCUUGAUAUGGAUAUAACAAUCAAACAACUUUCAAGAACAUGAUAUUAAAAUCUCAAUACUUGAUAUUUGGGCUCAAAACUUCAUGCUUUAAACUCAUGACAAUUCGUAACAACACUUUAUGCUCAACAUCAUUCUUGAUAUAUUUCAAAAAUAUCACUCCAUAAAAUGAGAACUGCAAUUCAUGGUAUAAA